GAAAGAUGGAACCACCGUAAUUUGGAAAGCUCAACCUCCUAAAAUUGCCUUCAGCCCCAAGGGACCCAGCACUUGAACAACAGUGGCUUAAAAUGAAAUCCCACUAGAUCUGGAGCCUGCAGAUGGGAUCCUGGUAAAGCUGGCAGACGCCAGCAGAGGGUGAGCACUCUUCUGGGGUCAGCUCUCCGCAUCUCCACAGUGCCUGGCUGUGAGAGGAAGAAGUGAAAUUCAUGGAAAGGACCCUACCAACUACCGUGGACCCUUGACACUACAAAAUCACAAGGUAUCAAACCUUUCACAACUGAAGAAGGUUGCACCUGAUAUCUGAUCCUAUACAAAUGCUGGAGACCUCAAAAUCAAAGAUUAGGAAGAGAAGUAGCUGGACUGAGGUAGACAGACUGCUUCCUCCCACCAUGCUGAGUCAAGAACUUUUAUUUCCAAUUCUUACAUUAUGAAUGAAGCUCUUUAUGAUUCUUGUAUCUUCCUUUGGCCUUGCGCUGGCCCAGAAAAAUGCCACUGUUCACAUAUGAGGCGUUGCAUGGGGAGGUGCAAUCCAGUCUCCAAACUAAUGGAUUUGCUGUACUGGUUAUCCUAUAGUUUUGUCCAUUGCAAACCUCUCCCUGAUUUCCAGUGCCUUGGUUUCUCAGAAACAAACUCAGCCCCUUUCUUUGGUGUCAGAUUCCCUAAGCCUAGGUGUCCAUUUUCCCUUCCCUUGUUAGCAGAUCCAAACUCAGGGAAACUAGCACCCAGGCUCUGCACCAAGAAAGGAAUCCAAGGGCAGCCAGCAUAAAACUACCUGUAUAGUCUACAGACCCUUAAAUUUUACUGACUUUCAGAGCUGUCACCUUGCCAGUUCUGAGUCACAGGUUCCAACAGGAAGUUGUAAGAGGCAUUCAUGAUUCAAAAUUAGUUUUUUUUGGCAGGUCCUUACUCCUCUGACUAGGGGUAAGUGGAAACGAAGCUAUGAUCAGUAACCUCUUCUUAUUGGAUCUAUUGCACAAUCUGCUGCUAAAGGAAUAGCUACCCCCCCAAAAAAUGUCUAGACUAUUGCCAAAGUUGUUCCUGAUGAAAGAAGAGCCCUUCAGUACAGUCUUUUGUUGACAUCAUUGAUUCUGAUCAGUCUGGGUCUUGGGGCCAUGGCUCUGAAGUUUGCUCCAGACACUGAGGGUUAUCCUGUUUCUAAUAAUCACAGGAGUCUUCCCAGGGUGCUGUGUUUUCUCAAAAGCUUUAAAUGCAUAUUCAAAGCCAAUAAACACUGAGAAAAUGAUUUCUGUAAUAUUAGAACUUCAGAAAAGGAAUGAAGAGAGUGAUCUACUUUAAUGUGAACCUGACACUGACCUAUGACUACCCCACAGAGGAUCAGCAAAAAACUUCACAAAUUCUAGUGUGGUAGCUAGGGGUAGAGCUGAUACAUUAAAUUUUUAGCACAAGACAACAGGUCAAAAAUGGAAUCACUUAUGCUAAGUCCCAUGUCACCAAACCAAGACUUAAUUACAGUUUUGACUGUUCCAGAAAUGGAAUCAGGCAAGCAGGAGAAACCUGGCAGCACUAGUAAGGUAAACACCUGAUAGGCCCCUGCCUUCUCCUAAUGGGAAGUAACUGCAAUGACCAACCUGCUUUUCUGAUGACAGUAACUCCCUUAUUUGCACUCCCUUCCUUCUAUUUGCAGGAUGGAUGUUGCCUGAUUCAUCAAUCACUGGAUAAAGCCAGUAAGAUUUUAAAAUUUACCCAGUUGAGUUUUGUUUUUUAACAAAUCCAUGAUGGGGAAUCCUAUUCAUUGAUAAGGAGUCAUGUUAGGAAUAAAGAAGUUGGAUAUUUUAAGAUUAAUGGAAGUUUUUAAAUAGGCAUAUGGCUGCAAAAAAACAUUCCAGCCCCUUUUAAAUCAUUGUUCCUUAGAGAAACAUCCAAAGGAUAAUUCGGAAGUACUGACUACUCAUUACCAUGGGUAAAAAGUAAUAAUAUUAAAUUUAGUUCAUGAUAGUCUACUCUCAAAGGUAGGAACAGGGAUUUUUUGUUUGUUUCUAUCAAACAGGUCACUUUUUAAAUUGGAAAAUGAGUGAAUUUUUAAAAGUCUUUUAAGCUCUAAGUAAAUGACAUUGCCCAUUAUAUAAAAAUAUACACACUAUACCAGACUAUUCAACUUCCAUAAUUGAAUAGUCUAACUGUGGGGGGUCUAUUCAUUAUAGAAAAAUUGAUUCAUAAUAAGUGAAAUUUGUAUAUUAAAUACUUUUUCCAAAUAACUGACUACUGUUCUAAUGGUCUUGUUUAUUUAAACAAUUAGCAAUUACUGAGAAAGAAAAGUUGAGGCCAAUUAAAGACCAAGGUAAUACACACAUUGCAUGUUCCAACAAUUAAUUGAUAACUUGCUUACCAGGGGCUAUCUAACAAUUAACCAGGGAAAUACUUCUAAGAAAUAGAAGCAUUAAUGCAAAAUGUCUUCUGGAUUUAUUCUUUUCAAAUCCAUUUACCACAUUAUCUAAUCUGGCAUAAGCAGAAAACCCCCAAGGAAGAUUAAUAUUCAAAACACCUCUAAAGCCCUCUGGUAAGCCCUCUGGUGUUAGGAACCUUAAUUGUUUUGGCAACAU